UCGGGAAUUUUGGGCAAUGGGGGAAACCCUGACCCAGCAACGCCGCGUGAAGGAUGAAGUAUUUCGGUAUGUAAACUUCGAAAGAAUAGGAAGAAUAAAUGACGGUACUAUUUAUAAGGUCCGGCUAACUACGUGCCAGCAGCCGCGGUAAUACGUAGGGACCAAGCGUUGUUCGGAUUUACUGGGCGUAAAGGGCGCGUAGGCGGCAUGACAAGUCACUUGUGAAAUCUCUGGGCUUAACCCAGAACGGCCAAGUGAUACUGUCGCGCUAGAGUGCAGAAGGGGCAAUCGGAAUUCUUGGUAUAGCGGUGAAAUGCGUAGAUAUCAAGAGGAACACCUGAGGUGAAGACGGGUUGCUGGGCUGACACUGACGCUGAGGCGCGAAAGCCAGGGGAGCAAACGGGAUUAGAUACCCGCGUAGUCCCUGAGCGGGCUGGCAAGGCGCAU
rnacentral:rRNA from 1 species